rnacentral:rRNA from 1 species
GACGAACGCUGGAGGCGUGCUUAACACAUGCAAGUCGAACGAUGAAAUGGAGCUUGCUCCAUGGAUUAGUGGCGAACGGGUGAGUAACACGUGAAUAACCUGCCCUUAAUUUUGGAAUAACCCAGGGAAACCUGGGCUAAUACCGGAUAAGUAAACCUGUGGCAUCACAUGGUUUUGGAAAGUUUUUCGAUUAAGGAUGGAUUCGCGGCCUAUCAGCUUGUUGGUGAGGUAAUGGCUCACCAAGGCGACGACGGGUAGCCGGCCUGAGAGGGUGAACGGCCACACUGGGACUGAGACACGGCCCAGACUCCUACGGGAGGCAGCAGUAGGGAAUCUUCCGCAAUGGACGAAAGUCUGACGGAGCAACGCCGCGUGAGUGAUGAAGGCUUUCGGGUCGUAAAACUCUGUUGUUAGGGAAGAACAAGUGCUAGUUGAAUAAGCUGGCACCUUGACGGUACCUAACCAGAAAGCCACGGCUAACUACGUGCCAGCAGCAGCCGCAG